ACUCAUCUGUAAUUGACAGAUUCAGAGAUGGUCUUUCAACCCUGGAGUUUUUGACUGCACUACAGCAACACCCUACUUUGCUGGCCCCUGUUCUGUGCCACUCUGAAAAGCGACUCACUGCUUUUGAACUUGAGAAACUCUUCAAACCCGACCUCAGUCCAUCAGGGAGUAAUCGACGACUUAAAGAAAGUCAAACCAUGGCCUAUUGGGCAGAUUAUCUCCUUGAUUGUGAAGAAGGCCAGGCUGCUGUGUCUGUGGAAGAUGUUUUAAUGUUUGCUACUGGGCUGUCUUCACUUCCCCCAUCUGGCUUGGAGCCACCGCCACAAAUAGAGUUCCUGGAUGACUCUGCGUUCCCCAUGGCAAAUACAUGUUCAAACUCCUUGAGAUUACCACUCCUAGACUCAUUCACUUUGUUUAAGUCACAAAUGGACUUUGGAAUUCAAAAUAGUCCAGGAUUUGGCUGUUUCUAAGCUAUAUGAUGGAUGACUCCUAGAGUUAAAGUUGUUAAGGGU